rnacentral:rRNA from 1 species
AUGGCAGCGCGGCCGCACUACGCCAGGAAACUCCUGCUCGUGGCGCCAGCGGCGAGCCCGUCACCUGCACCCUCGGCGCCCGGCAUUACUACUCCCAUGGCCGAGGCUUGGCCGGCGGCCUCUGCCGACGCCGAGGGCGCGUUCACCUGGCUCAACGACAACGCCGUCCUCGUACUCGCGCUCCUCAUCUGCGGCCUGUUCGCCGCGAUGGCGCUUCAUAUCCUCCUCCAGUGCGCGUUCCGCGUUACGGGACGCGCGUGGUACGGUGCCAACGCCAGCGCCAGCGCGGCCCCUCGGGACUCGUCGGAGUCGAUGCCGCGCGCGGAAGGGGGCGGCGGGGGCAGGACGCUGGCGCUGGCCCAGGCGCUCCCGUGCCUGGCGUACUCGGCGGGGCUCGAGCUGGCCGGGUCAUCGCUGUCGGAGUGUGCCAUCUGCCUCGCCGAGUUCAUCCGCGGGGAGAAGGUGCGCGUGCUGCCGCGCUGCAACCACGGGUUCCACGCCGCCUGCAUCGACCGGUGGCUGGCGGCGCGGCCGACGUGCCCCACGUGCAGGCAGGCGCCGUUCGCCGAGCCCGAUGAAAGCGUCCUGGCUGCGGACUGUGCACGACCGGCGCCCGCUAUCGCGGUGGUGCGGGUGAUUGUAGACGCUGGCGGGAGGCGGCGUGUGGAGAUUUAG